AAUGGGGGCAACCCUGAUCCAGCAAUGCCGCGUGUGUGAAGAAGGCCUUCGGGUUGUAAAGCACUUUUGGCGGGAGCGAAAGGGCCUGGGCUAAUACCCCGGGUUGAUGACGGUACCCGCAGAAUAAGCACCGGCUAACUACGUGCCAGCAGCCGCGGUAAUACGUAUGGUGCAAGCGUUAAUCGGAAUUACUGGGCGUAAAGCGAGCGCAGGCGGUUGUGUAAGACAGAUGUGAAAUCCCCGGGCUCAACCUGGGAACUGCAUUUGUGACUGCACGGCUAGAGUGCGUCAGAGGGGGGUGGAACUCCACGUGUAGCAGUGAAAUGCGUAGAGAUGUGGAAGAACACCGAUGGCGAAGGCAGCCCCCUGGGAUGACACUGACGCUCAUGCGCGAAAGCGUGGGGAGCAAA
rnacentral:rRNA from 1 species